GGGAGAUUGAACCUUGGUGCAUUUUACCAUAGCUAUAUCCCCAGCCCUAUUUUAUUUUGAGACAGGGUCUUAUCAGUUUAACUAGGCUAAUGUUGAAUUUCUGAUCCUUCUACCUCAGCCCCCCUAGUUGCUGGGAUUAUGGGUGUGUGCCAGUGUGCCCAGUUUUUUGUAUCUUAAGUUUUGUUGGAUAGUUACUUGACCAUCUUAAUAAGUUUCUCUAUUUUAUAUUGUAAUAUCAGAUUGGUCUUAAAUUCUUAGGCACUACAUCAUUCACUAGUGCAAGCCUUUGUAGGUUUUUCAUUACCUAACCUACUGGAUAUCUUGAUCUGCUUUGCCAGUCUCUUCUGUUCAAAUGUUUUUGUUUAUGAUUACCUCUGACCUGAGUGCUCUUUUCUCCAAAAAUCCUAGGUUAAAGAAAUGGAUGUGUUCUAUAUCCAGGAAGCAUUAAUCCACCUCUCAAGUUGUGUUGUAUUCUGAAUUCUCAGGUCAGUGUUCACCAACAUAUUUAGCAUUUGAUCACUAUAUUACUUCCUAUUGUUUGAUUAGUUAG
rnacentral:lncRNA from 1 species